AGCGCGGGUUUGUGCUUCCGUUGGCUCCGGGGGCGCGGGCCCAGCCUCUCCGUGCCCCAGGCUCGCUGCACCCCGCACCGCUCUCCGCUCUGCCCACGCCGCAGUUUCUCCCCGGCACACAAGAUUUUGUGUUUGUGGAUUUAUUUGCGAGCUCCCCGGCUGUGAGUGAAGGGCGCAGGGAGGCGGCGCAGCCGGGGCGGCUCAGGGCUCCGGGUUCCAGGCAGCUGCCUCCAUGCGCACAAAGGCCCCUCUCGCCACGGGCCGGCAACUUGGAGACAGGUCGUUUGGGGCGAGGACCUGCCUUCUCAUGUGGACGGAGGUGAGCGGCCAGAUGGCAGCUCCCGCACACUUGCUGUGUUACUGCAGGAUGUAACCGACAACAUGGACAUAAUGAGUGACCGGAUGGGAAAUCUCAGCAGAGACAUGGGAACCAUGAGCUCGUUCACUGGAAGGGCCUAACAGAGGACUGGAAACUGCAGAAGAAAAGGGAGCCCACUGAGUGUGUGAGAUGCUCAGCACUGCCCAUCCUGGCCUGGGCUCCGCCCUCACCUGCCUCCCAGCUCAGGCACCUGUCUGCCCAAGUGAGCAGCUCUCUGCUUUCCCCAGCAGCUGCUCCAGCAAGAUAAUGAUGGCUCCAGCCGGGACGACGGCACAGAUCGAUUUUGAAAAUCAGUAAGGACAUGGUUCCCAGAAUAUUUGUCCUCCGCACACCAAGUGGAGCCUGACAGAGUGGAGCGUUUGCACCCCGACAUGUGGAGACAGAAGCGUCACGUGGCUGUGAGUGUGUUAACACACCGUGCAGUGACUUGGGGAUCGCGUCAGAUGCUGUCUUUGCAAACGGAGCGCCCCGCCCCUGUAUUUGUGGUCUAUUUUGGGAUUAACAGUGUUGGGUUGUGAAGGAGGACAUCGAGGAACCUCCGCGGCUGACACCACCCUGUCUCCCCGUCUCCCUUUCUCCGCAAGUCUUCUGCAGUUGGUUGCUGUCUUGCUGUGCAAACAGAUUUAAAAAAUCGCUGUUAUGACAAUGAGGCUUUUUCAUAACUUUG